rnacentral:rRNA from 1 species
AUGGAGCUUUACAUUCUAACACUACUAGCUAGGCAAUCAUGGAGAAUUGUGCAAAAUACUGAGUCUAGUAGUUUCGGAAUUUCGAAGCGCCAAUACUACCCCAAUGGUAAACUUGAGGAUACAGUUUUCUCAGGAAAUGCUUCUUCAACUUGGACUGCAAUCAGCCAUGGCCUAGAUCUACUUAAGAAAGGACUAAUAUGGAGAGUAGGGAAUGGGAACAAUAUCAGAAUUUGGAGGGACCCUUGGAUCCCUAGACCUUUCUCCUAUAGACCUAUAUCAAUCCAAGGGACUUGCAGAUAUAGACAUGUGUCACAACUGCUACAUCGCGAUGGUGCUUGGAAUUAUAGUUUACUUCAAGAAGCAUUUUUGCCAUGUGAUGUACAGGAAAUCUUGAAAAUAAGAGCGUCACCUCGGCUCGAGGAGGACGUGCUGGCUUGGGGCCCGACGAAAACUGGAGUAUUUUCAGUGAAAUCGGCAUAUGAAUUAGACUUUGAGGAAACGUACAGAAGCUCUGCGGAAUCGUCAAGCGCUGCUCCGGAUGGCCGUCGGGCUUGUUGGAAGCUUAUCUGGAAAAGCAUUGUGCCACCUACGGUCAAAAACUUUGCAUGGCGUGUUGCGGUGAACUCCCUCCCAACGUGGCAAAACAAAAACAAGCGCAACUUAGAAACGUCUGGAAUUUGCCCAAUUUGCGAGAGGGAAGAGGAAGACACCUUUCAUGCUCUUUGUAAGUGUCCGCUGGCAGUUCAGUUGUGGGAAUGCAUGGCAACCGUUUGGAGGCUACCAAAACGGGAGGAACUUAAGAACACAGGCAUUGAAUGGCUGCUGGAAGUGCUUCAUCCACUUUCAGAGAUAGAGAGGGGCAUGCUGCUGAUGUGUUUGUGGCGGGUGUGGCACAAUCGAAAUGAGAUAACACACAACAAAGAACCACCUCCGAUGGAGGCAUCGAAACGGUUUUUGAUGGGAUACUUGGACUCCUUAAUUUCGCUAAAGUAUUCAGAUGAUGAACUCCUAAAAGGUAAACAGGUUGUUGCAUAUUGUUUGCCUGAACCGCGAGUGAGACCAUCUGUUGCUAGCAACAUCGCAUGGGUUUUACCUAUGGAGGGGUGGUCAAAGCUCAACAUUGAUGGCUCUUGGUCUAUAGAUGGGAAGGCAGGAGCUGGUAUGGUCCUCCGAGAUAGCCAGGGAAAGAUCAUAUAUACAUCAUGCAGGGAGCUUUUUUCUUGCAGGAAUGCUCUGGAGGCGGAACUAGGUGCAUGUAUGGAGGGUCUCUCAAUAGCAAUUCAGAGAACGGAGCUACCUAUUCAGGUAGAGAUGGACUCACGGGAGGCCUUGAACAUAAUCACAAAUGAUUCGACUGAUAGAUCAAUUUUUUCAUCAUUGGUAAAUGAAAUCAAGUACCUGAGGAGUCUUCGGGAAACUACAUUUAGUUUUGUUCAUCGUAGUCAAAAUAAUGUUAGUGAUUUUUUGGCAAAUUUUGCUAGAUCCAAGAGUAGAACAAUAGUGUGGCUUAACUCUGGUUUAUCAGAGGUCCUUGAACUUUGUAAUGGAGACUGUGGACUUACCACUUGA